UACGUAGGGGGCAAGCGUUGUCCGGAUUUAUUGGGCGUAAAGAGCGUGUAGGCGGUUUGGUAGGUCCGUUGUGAAAACUCGAGGCUCAACCUCGAGACGCCGAUGGAAACCAUCUGACUAGAGUCCGGAAGAGGAGAGUGGAAUUCCUGGUGUAGCGGUGAAAUGCGCAGAUAUCAGGAAGAACACCCGUGGCUAAGGCGGCUCUCUAGUACGGUACUGACGCUGAGACGCGAAAGCGUGGGGAGCGAAACAGG
rnacentral:rRNA from 1 species